UGGGGAAUAUUGCACAAUGGGCGAAAGCCUGAUGCAGCAACGCCGCGUGAGUGAUGAAGGUCUUCGGAUUGUAAAGCUCUGUCUUUUGGGACGAUAAUGACGGUACCAAAGGAGGAGCCACGGCUAACUACGUGCCAGCAGCCGCGGUAAUACGUAGGUGGCGAGCGUUGUCCGGAUUUACUGGGCGUAAAGGGUGCGUAGGCGGAUGUUUAAGUGAGAUGUGAAAUACCCGGGCUUAACUUGGGUGCUGCAUUUCAAACUGGAUAUCUAGAGUGCAGGAGAGGAGAAUGGAAUUCCUAGUGUAGCGGUGAAAUGCGUAGAGAUUAGGAAGAACACCAGUGGCGAAGGCGAUUCUCUGGACUGUAACUGACGCUGAGGCACGAAAGCGUGGGUAGCAAACAGGAUUAGAUACCCUGGUAGUCCACGCCGUAAACGAUGAGUACUAGGUGUAGGAGGUAUCGACCCCUUCUGUGCCGCAGUAAACACAUUAAGUACUCCGCCUGGGAAGUACGAUCGCAAGAUUAAAACUCU
rnacentral:rRNA from 1 species